UACGGAGGGUGCAAGCGUUGUCCGGAUUUAUUGGGUUUAAAGGGUGCGUAGGCGGCUUUGUAAGUCAGCGGUGAAAGUUUCCGGCUCAACCGGGGGACUGCCGUUGAUACUGCUGGGCUUGAGUGCCGAUGGGGUACAUGGAAUUUAUGGUGUAGCGGUGAAAUGCAUAGAUACCAUAAGGAACACCGAUAGCGAAGGCAUUGUACUUAUCGGCAACUGACGCUGAGGCACGAAAGCGCGGGUAGCGAACAGG
rnacentral:misc_RNA from 1 species